rnacentral:lncRNA from 1 species
AACCCGGCCGACAGAAGAUGGCGGAUGAGCAGCGUGCAGGGUUUUCUCCCUGUGGCUCACUCUCUCUUACUGUGCUGGGCGGUUGCUUCCUCUCCUGCUGCCCUUGGGAGUCAGACUCCAGGUUCUUCAGCCUGUGGCCCCUGGGGCUCUCGGGCCUUGGAGGACUGACUAGGAGCACACGGUGGGCCUCUCUGGUUUGGGGGCCUGGGACGUGGCGGAGCCCUGCAGCUUCUGUGCGGCCUGUUCUGGGCGUCGCGUUGAAACGCCAGCCAGUUCCCCAAGUAAGCUCCCUGCACACACGCCUGAUAGCCUGUUGGUUCCGUCCUUCUGCGGGAUUUUCACUACCACUCUCUAACUCACACACAGCAGAAAGAGCAUACGGGAGAGAUGAAGCAGUCCACUCCAAGAACAUUCUCAUCCUACGGAUUACGAGUCCCCCUGGGAUUACAGGAGUGUUGAAGAAAUGUUGUGACACAUCAGAACACCGCGAAAUACAUGGACACUUUCAAAUCAUGGAAGACUCAAGGACAAAGAAGACAGAAAAUACUACACACUACCCAGAGAUUGAAACUGAAGGUGUGAACAACAGAGAAAAGAGAGGGCAAAGAAAAGGAAAACAAAGAAGACGUGGGAUAUGAAAGGUGUAUGCCAUGUGUGGACAUCAAGAAAUGUUUCAGCUCGCACUUCUGCCACCAAUUGAGCCUG